rnacentral:rRNA from 1 species
ACUACGAGCAAAGCUUAAAACCCAAGGGACUUGACGGUACCCCACAUCCACCUAGAGGAGCCUGUCCUAUAAUCGAUAACCCCCGCUAAACCUCACCAUUUUUAGCCAAUCAGCCUGUAUACCUCCGUCGUCAGCUUACCUCGUGAGCGAAAUCUAGUGAGCUUAAUGUCUUUACAUCAAUACGUCAGGUCAAGGUGCAGUAAAUAAAAUGGGAAGAGAUGGGCUACACUCUCUAACUUAGAAUAUACGAAAGACUACCUAUGAAAUCUAGUCAGAAGGCGGAUUUAGAAGUAAAAAGAGACCAUAGAGCUCUUCUUAACCCGGCACUGGGGUGUGUACACACCGCCCGUCACCCUCUUCAAAGCCCAAAUAGCAGUAUAUAACUCAAUUUAGCACCACAGAAGAGGCAAGUCGUAACAUGGUAA